UGACAGUAAAUACCGAGUGUUAACUUGACUGGAUUGAAGGAUGCAAAGUAUUGAUCCUGGGUGUGUCUGUGAGGGUGUUGCCAAAGGAGGUUAACAUUUGAGUCAGUGGGCUGGGGAAGGCAGAUCCAACCUCAAUCUGGUGCGCCAUCUAAUAAGCUGCCAAUGAAUAUAAAGCAGGCAGAAAAACAUAAGAAGGUGAGACUGGCCUAGCCUCCCAGCCUACAUCUUUCUCCCAUGCUGAAUGCUUCCUGUCCUCGAACAUCGGACUCCAAGUUCUUUAGUUUUGAGACUCGGACUGGCUUCCUUGCUCCUCAAGCUUGCAGACAGCCUAUUGUGGGACCUUGUGAUCAUAGAUCCUUGAUUAAUACAGAUGGGGUCCCACUAUGCUGCCCAGGCUGCUUUCAAACAGGGUCUUAACUCUGUCACCCAGGCUGGAGUGCAGUGGUGUGACCACAGCCACUGCAGGCUCAACCUCUGGGACUCAGGUGAUCCUCCCAUCUCAGCCUCCCAAGUAGCUGGGACUACAGGUUGCUUCUUCCAGAUCCCUUUUGAUCUAUUUUCAGCUAUGGAUUCAUGAGAAUCAAGACUAAGCAGCCUGAAUUGAAGGAGUAACAGUAUCACCUAACAAUGAUUUUGCUGCCAUAGUAGCUGUUUGUAUACUGGCCAUAUGCCUAGGUAAAAUGAGGCCAGAUCACUCUCAGAGUUUUCUAUCAGAGUUGGUGGCGAACUACUGCUCACUGAUAAUG
rnacentral:antisense_RNA from 1 species